CUGGUCCAGGCAGCGCUGACUCAGCCACCCUCCGUGUCAGCGAACGUGGGACAAACCGUCCAGAUCACCUGCUCCGGGAGCAGCUACAGCUAUGGCUGGUACCAGCAGAAGGUUCCUGGCAGUGCCCCCGUCACUGUGAUCUAUACUAACAACAAGAGACCCUCAGACAUCCCUUCACGAUUCUCCGGAUCCAAUUCUGGCUCCACAGGCACGUUAACCAUCACUGGGGUCCAAGCCGAGGACGAGGCUGUCUAUUACUGUGGUGGCUACGACGGCAGCAGCAGCUAUGGUGUCUGGUGA